UCAACCUUAUUUUAGGAUUUCUUUUUACUGUCUUUUUGCCAUUUAGGGAUGUUAUCAAUCUGUUUCUAUGGGCUAUAGUAAUAAAAAAAUACAUUUUAUAUUUAUUUGAUUCAUGUUUUAAAACAUUUGUUUGAUACCUAAAAGGGGUCCUAAAAUUCUAAUCAAAUAGCCAAAUGAUCCAUGGUAUGCCUUAAAACAAUUCCAUGUGUCCGCUUAGAACCCCCCCCCCCUCCAGCAGUUUAGACUUAAGAAUUAACAACCAAAGCAACUGCAUAUGGCUCAGGAACCACUGACUCAAUGUAUUUUACUAUUAUCAAUACACCUGCUGGUAACUCUUAACUGGUUAGGACAGCUCAGGAGGUGUCCUAAGUAUGUCAACUAGGUGUGACCUAGGACUGCAGAGACUUCAUGCAUAGCUUUUAUUUUAACCCAUUAGAGUAGGAGUAAAAUCUCUCUAUUCUCAGCACUUACGACCAAUUUUCUACGUUGAGAAGCUUAGUGGAAUACGGCCCAACCUAAUACCAUUCAGACAGUAGUUUACAGUGGGCUCACCUCAGUGAGACUGUAUGUGGUCCUGUGCUCUUCAGCUGGUUCCUCUGUGGGUUCUGGAGGAGUUUUUGUCUGGUUGUCCUCCAUGACCAUGGUUGCCUCAGGGUUCGCCAGACCCUCCUCACACCCCUCCUCCUUCACCAGCAGCACCUCCAGACCCUCCUCCUCCUGGAAGAGACAAGUGAUACAGAUUACACAGACAUACACUCCCUCAGUGGAACGACCCCCAUGUCACCCCGCUCCUCUGCACACUCCACUGGCUUCCAGUCAAAGCUCCCAUCCACUACAAGACCAUGGUGCUUGCCGACAGAGCAGCAAGGGGAACUGCCCCUCCCUACCUUCAGGCCAUGCUCAAACCCUACACCCCACCUGAGCACUCAAGUUCUGCCACUGGUCUCUUGGCCGUCCCACCACAAUGGGGGAUCAGAUCCCACUCAGCCCAGUCAACGAUCUUCUCUGUCCUGACACCCCAAUGGUGGUACCAGCUUCCCCCUGAGUCCCUGCUCAGCUUACAAAAACGUCUGAAACCCUACCACUCGAAAGAGU
rnacentral:lncRNA from 1 species